AGUCCUUUGUUUUGUUUUUUUCUUGCUCGAUCCAUACUCCUGUUAAGUUCGUCAAUUACCAUCAACAUCCACACUUUCUGCUUUCAGUGCAACUGUUUUCAGCAAAUAAAAAUGUAUUAUUAUCCUGCCUAUUGUUAGGUACUGAAUCCAGGAACUCAGAAGUCACACAUCACAAGUAGGAAAUAAACGUAAUUAGAGUUGAUUCGUCCGAGCUAGAGGCUAUGGUAUGUUCAUCUUGAGGAACUAAUCAGCCAUCUGUUCGAGAUCCUCAUCUGCUCCUUUGUGAAUCGAGGCUAUGGAACAAGAAGGCUAGACGAGACUGUUUGCGGCCACAGUUGUGCAGCUCAAAGACUAAAAGGCUAAAGAGCUCAGCUUCAGGCUAGCAGUCUACCUGUUUUCCCAGGAUUUUUGGGCAAGGAGACACUUUCAAAAUAAAUGAUGGCCAGUAUCGAAGGUGCUGCUGUGUCUGCAAUUUUGAAAAUUUUGGCAAACAAGUUAGCUCCAUUGAUGAUGAAGCAGUACAGCUCUAUAGUGGGUGUGACAAAGGAUCUCCAGGAUCUCAAGGGUCGAUUUGAGGAUAUCAGCUCCUGGCUAGAAAAAGCAGGAUGUAAAACUACGGAUAAUGAUCAAUUUUUCAUCAGACAAUUGAAACACGUCGCAUACGACGUUGAUGAUAUUGUUGAUGAGUUCCAUCUAGAGGCUGAGAAGCACGAAGCUGAAGUUGCCAACAAUAUUGUGUCAAAAUGUCUCUGCACAAAACC